rnacentral:rRNA from 1 species
AUCGCCUGGAGCAUGACUUGCAUGUCGAUCGGACGGCGGGUGCUUGCUUGCGCCGGGUGGUGAGUGACGAAUGAGUGAUACAUCCAUCCAUGCCUGGCCUGGAGGGAGGGACAGCCCGGAGAAGGAUGGAUUACUCCUACAAUCUAUCUACGGAAGAAAGCGACCGACCUUCCUGCCUCUCUCUGUAUGGUCGAUCGAUGAUUGAUUAGCUGGUGGGGGGGGUGACUGCCUACGAAAGCAACAAUAACUGGUUGGACUGAAAGAACAACCACCCUGACUGGGACAGACACACCGCACUCACUCCUACGGGAGGCAUGGGUGAUUAAUUUUGGACGAUGAAAGAAUGAUUGAUCCAUGCCUGCCGUGUGAGUAAAGACUGCCUUCUGUUUGUAAAUUUUUUUUGUCCAGAAAUAAUUGCUUGUCUCUCAUACGGGCGAUGAAUGACCCUACCGAAUAAAUACCCGCCAACUACCUGCCUGCCACCACCCUCAUACAUACGUAGGGUGCAUUCAUCAAUCUUACUGACUGGACAUAAAGCGCGCGCAGGUUGCUAGCACCGAUCUAUAUUCCCUCCCCUCGCUCUGCCUGCUAACUUGAUUACUGACUGGCUAGAUAAAGUAUGACGGAGGUAGAAUUACUCCUGCAUGUAUCAGAUGCAUGCAUAUAUAUGUGAAUGAAUAUCGAUAGCGAAGGCACCCGCCUGAAUCCAGACUGACACUCAUGAACGAGUGCGUAGCGAGCAAAAUGAAUACAUAGCCUGUCCACCCCCUACCUGAUCUAUACCAGCUGUUGGUGAUGCAUUCCCUUCCUACGUACGUAACUCAUGCAGUUAACCGACUGGCUGGGUGCGGUCGCUCGAUGAAUAAUCACAUCGAAGUGACUGAGACGCGACCCCACACAGUCGAUGAUGGAUGAUGAUUCAAUUGCAUGCCACACAAACAUACCUACCCUUCCCAUUGAACUGGACAUACAUCCCUCUGCA